UCGGGAUAGCUCAGUUGGUAGAGCAGAGGACUGAAAAUCCUCGUGUCA
rnacentral:tRNA from 12 species